CUCAUAUGUGUCCUCCAAUAGUUCUUUAUCUCAUUAUCAGUUCUCCCCGGUAAUCUCCGGGCAAUCCGUGACCAUCUGCAUGGAAUCAGAAGCUAGUGUUGUAACCACCACAAAGGAAAAAUCCAGAUAAAAAUAGUAAUCCUUUAUAAGCUGAUAUCAAGCUCUCAAAAUACUAGGACUGGACCACUUGCUUUAUUCAAAAGCACAGUCUUCUUUGAUGUUAAUUGGGAGAAAGAAGAAUCAAUCCAUUAUUUUCAAAAUUGCUGGGUAUUGAUUAGAAGUUGCAAAACUAAGAUUUGUGUCGAGAGACCUAAUAAAUAUAACUUGUACUCUAAUUCAAAAUUCUUUUCAAAAUAAAGUACUCCCAAACAAGAUGAGUUGGCCUAUUCAUUUGGAAAUCUUAAGUCUUGGUCUAUUUUCAGUAGGCAAUUUUGAAAUUUUGGUCUAUUAACUGUUUGAAAGUGGGAAGAGGAGGUCCUCGAUCAAGAUUUUCUUCAUUGAUUGAUGAAAAGUACAGUCAACGUAUUACAAUUGUUGUAGUUUAUUAGUUAUACAUUUAUGAUGAUACAAAGUAAUUGCAAUUGAUCUUUGAGAUUAAACGUCAUUGGAUUUGACCGAUUGUUGUUUUUGUAGUUAAAAUUAUAAAUGCCGCAUAAUUAUUAAUUUACGGAGUAAUAAACUCCUACGAAGUAUAAUAU